GAAAUAUUGUAUCUCCUACCUUUGUGGACUGCAAUUAAUCAUUGCAUGCUUAUAUGUGACACUUGAUAGUAAGGAUUGUGUUGUAAUCUUAUUUGGAGAGCAAAUAUCUGGAAUGUGACUAUGUAAGAUAUGUGAGAUCAUGAGAAUGGACCGGAACUUCUGCAGGGCUUUAUGUUAUAGUUUCGGGGACCGCCUUUGUUGAUAUUGUGACAAGUCUAGGCUAGCUAACUGUCUGGUGUGCUUUACUAACCCAGUGUUGAUCUCCCAAGCAGGUCUAGGAUGCCCAUAUUUAUCCAUCCUUGCACUUAUUUAGUACUUGCAUAGCUGUUGUUUUAUGAAGACCUGCACAAUAACAAUUAUAUAUAGUUUUUUUUAACAAUGCAGUGAAACGGGGUGCCUUACUUUUGCAGUGGCGAAAACUAUCUUCAGUUUUGCUGUGAUGUUCCUGCCUCAUACUUCUGUUUCUUUUUGGGGUUUUUCUGGCUGGGGUAGGGUCGGGAUUUCUGAAGUCAUAAAGUUCGAUUGAGGACUUGAGGUUCGAGAUAAUGUAGGUGACUGUGCUGCUCGUGGUUCAGAUCUAUUUGAGAGUAUUGCUGUGAAGAUCAUAAGUGUCAUGAUAUUAGGUGGGACAAUGUCACAGCGUUGUAAAAUUGAAGGUGCAUGUCUGCAGGAGUAUUAGACUUGAAGGGAGAAAUGGAGCUCUUUACCUUGGAAGGAUGAACUAAAUUCUGGUUAUGCGUGGCAGUAAGGCAAUCGGUAAUUAGGCGAGUAAUUUGAGGGCCAUAGGGUAAGACAGUCGACGAAUGAGAAAGUUGGCAGAAGAUGGGAGGUUGUAAGCCAUCCAUAUUCCAUGGUGCUUCGGGAGCAAGCAGGUUGUCUUCCUUUGUUUGUUGGUCAGGUGGAAUCAUUUGCUAUGCGGUCUCACGAAGUAGAUGCAUUGCACGUUAUAAAAUGUCCAACUAAUUGCACUUAACUGUUAUGGGAGGAGGAACGGGUAUGUAUGGUGCAAGGUCUAUAAGGAGGUGGUUAGAAUAGAAGGCUGUGACUGAACUGUCGAAAAUGCUUAUAUCUGAGGAAAUAGACGAGACGAGACGAGAACUCCACCGUUGUAUCGAAGCUGGGGCGGAGGGACUUGUUUACUGGCUUACCGCGUAGCGUAAAUGGCGGGAUGGUGAAUGCUGCUACUGUCCUGGUUCAGGUCCGUAAUUGACUAAGGAACGAUUUAGCUCAAGCUUCAAAGAAGAUUAAAAUUCAGGAAUUUGAACACUAGAUGAUGAUGAUGAGAUGGUCGACUGAACAAUUGAUGGAUGCUGUUUAUUUUAGGAGCUUUUCCUCCUUAGCAGAUGUUGUUAUGUUUUGUUUUAUCGACUGCUUCAAUAAUAAACAGAGUAAAGAGUGAAAAAUGGGUAAUAAGUUUGGUAAAUAUUUUGAAGAGUUUAUGUCGAAGGAACAAUUCCAUUUUUUACUUGAAUUGGACAAAAUAUGCGAAAUUUCUCUUCUUUCUGCGGAAA